UCAUUUAGGAGGUGACACUGGGAAACAGUGGUAGGGAGUGAGGAAGUAAACAGGGAAAGGAGAAGUCAUUAAAGCUUGCAUUUAUCAAGCAAUUUGUCACUGUGGCCAAAUGGAGCUUAACAUCUCUCCUUUCCCCGGGAAUACUGAGAAGCAGUGUAGAACAUGCUUCAGAGUUAUGGACAUGUUAAUAAUUCAUAAAGUUAAUUGUGAAGAUGACGUGGAAUAUGCAUACAAGGCUAUUAGCACAGAACCCAGCACACAACAAGGGAUCCGUAGAUGUAAGCAUACCUGCUUCCCCAAUCUCCUGCUUGCGGGUUCUUUCCAUGGCUUCUUUGGCUCUUUUUUUUUUCUUAUGUCUUUGAACACUUCUUUCUGUUCCCUCAGUCCUAGUGACCAGAACAGUUCAUGCUGGAUGAUGGAGGUCAGGUGUGCAAUAAAGGAACUCAUUGGAGAACUCAGAAGACUAAGGAGAACUUGACUACAGCCAGCCAGAAGCAGCCAAGCUUAUGGAAAUGAAGUCCAAAGAAAAAUUCUCACUGGAACCAGCUGGAUUUACCCCUCCCCUGAGGGCUGGUGAGCGCUGGUUGGGGCAGGUGGAAAAUAAAUCACAGAGGAUCCGGAAGCA
rnacentral:lncRNA from 1 species